rnacentral:ncRNA from 2 species
AUCAGUGACACGGGGUGCUUCACGCUGAGAUCAAACCCGUUGAACCUGUCCAGAUAAUGCUGACGAAGGAAUGUCCGAUGGAGAAUUU